rnacentral:rRNA from 1 species
GGCGUGCCUAAUACAUGCAAGUCGAGCGAACAGAUGAGAAGCUUGCUUCUCUGAUGUUAGCGGCGGACGGGUGAGUAACACGUGGGUAACCUACCUAUAAGACUGGGAUAACUCCGGGAAACCGGGGCUAAUACCGGAUAAUAUUUUGAACCGCAUGGUUCAAUAGUGAAAGACGGUUUCGGCUGUCACUUAUAGAUGGACCCGCGCCGUAUUAGCUAGUUGGUAAGGUAAUGGCUUACCAAGGCGACGAUACGUAGCCGACCUGAGAGGGUGAUCGGCCACACUGGAACUGAGACACGGUCCAGACUCCUACGGGAGGCAGCAGUAGGGAAUCUUCCGCAAUGGGCGAAAGCCUGACGGAGCAACGCCGCGUGAGUGAUGAAGGUCUUCGGAUCGUAAAACUCUGUUGUUAGGGAAGAACAAAUUUGUUAGUAACUGAACAAGUCUUGACGGUACCUAACCAGAAAGCCACGGCUAACUACGUGCCAGCAGCCGCGGUAAUACGUAGGUGGCAAGCGUUAUCCGGAAUUAUUGGGCGUAAAGCGCGCGUAGGCGGUUUCUUAAGUCUGAUGUGAAAGCCCACGGCUCAACCGUGGAGGGUCAUUGGAAACUGGGAAACUUGAGUGCAGAAGAGGAGAGUGGAAUUCCAUGUGUAGCGGUGAAAUGCGCAGAGAUAUGGAGGAACACCAGUGGCGAAGGCGGCUCUCUGGUCUGUAACUGACGCUGAUGUGCGAAAGCGUGGGGAUCAAACAGGAUUAGAUACCCUGGUAGUCCACGCCGUAAACGAUGAGUGCUAAGUGUUAGGGGGUUUCCGCCCCUUAGUGCUGCAGCUAACGCAUUAAGCACUCCGCCUGGGGAGUACGACCGCAAGGUUGAAACUCAAAUGAAUUGACGG